rnacentral:rRNA from 1 species
UACGGGGGGGGCAAGCGUUGUUCGGAGUUACUGGGCGUAAAGGGCCAGUAGGCGGCCAACUAAGUCGGAUGUGAAAUCCCCAGGCUUAACCUGGGAACUGCAUCCGAUACUGGAUGGCUUGAAUUCGGGAGAGGGAUGCAGAAUUCCAGGUGUAGCGGUGAAAUGCGUAGAUAUCUGGAGGAAUACCGGUGGCGAAGGCGGCAUCCUGGACCGACAUUGACGCUGAACGGCGAAAGCUAGGGGAGCAAGCGGG